rnacentral:rRNA from 1 species
GAUGAAUCGUGGCGGCGUGCCUAAUACAUGCAAGUCGAGCGAACGGACGAGAAGCUUGCUUCUCUGAUGUCAGCGGCGGACGGGUGAGUAACACGUGGAUAACCUACCUAUAAGACUGGGAUAACUUCGGGAAACCGGAGCUAAUACCGGAUAAUAUUUUGAACCGCAUGGUUCAAAAGUGAAAGACGGUCUUGCUGUCACUUAUAGAUGGAUCCGCGCUGCAUUAGCUAGUUGGUAAGGUAACGGCUUACCAAGGCAACGAUGCAUAGCCGACCUGAGAGGGUGAUCGGCCACACUGGAACUGAGACACGGUCCAGACUCCUACGGGAGGCAGCAGUAGGGAAUCUUCCGCAAUGGGCGAAAGCCUGACGGAGCAACGCCGCGUGAGUGAUGAAGGUCUUCGGAUCGUAAAACUCUGUUAUUAGGGAAGAACAUAUGUGUAAGUAACUGUGCACAUCUUGACGGUACCUAAUCAGAAAGCCACGGCUAACUACGUGCCAGCAGCCGCGGUAAUACGUAGGUGGCAAGCGUUAUCCGGAAUUAUUGGGCGUAAAGCGCGCGUAGGCGGUUUUUUAAGUCUGAUGUGAAAGCCCACGGCUCAACCGUGGAGGGUCAUUGGAAACUGGAAAACUUGAGUGCAGAAGAGGAAGGUGGAAUUCCAUGUGUAGCGGUGAAAUGCGCAGAGAUAUGGAGGAACACCAGUGGCGAAGGCGACUUUCUGGUCUGUAACUGACGCUGAUGUGCGAAAGCGUGGGGAUCAAACAGGAUUAGAUACCCUGGUAGUCCACGCCGUAAACGAUGAGUGCUAAGUGUUAGGGGGUUUCCGCCCCUUAGUGCUGCAGCUAACGCAUUAAGCACUCCGCCUGGGGAGUACGACCGCAAGGUUGAAACUCAAAGGAAUUGACGGGGACCCGCACAAGCGGUGGAGCAUGUGGUUUAAUUCGAAGCAACGCGAAGAACCUUACCAAAUCUUGACAUCCUUUGACAACUCUAGAGAUAGAGCUUUCCCCUUCGGGGGACAAAGUGACAGGUGGUGCAUGGUUGUCGUCAGCUCGUGUCGUGAGAUGUUGGGUUAAGUCCCGCAACGAGCGCAACCCUUAAGCUUAGUUGCCAUCAUUAAGUUGGGCACUCUAAGUUGACUGCCGGUGACAAACCGGAGGAAGGUGGGGAUGACGUCAAAUCAUCAUGCCCCUUAUGAUUUGGGCUACACACGUGCUACAAUGGACAAUACAAAGGGCAGCGAAACCGCGAGGUCAAGCAAAUCCCAUAAAGUUGUUCUCAGUUCGGAUUGUAGUCUGCAACUCGACUACAUGAAGCUGGAAUCGCUAGUAAUCGUAGAUCAGCAUGCUACGGUGAAUACGUUCCCGGGUCU